UCUUAUCAAGAGAAGUGGAGGGACUGGCCCUUUGAAACUUCAGCAAAAGACUUUUAAUUUGAAAGUACUGUGCUAAUUCCAGUAUCGCGUUUGCGGUGGAAGAUAAGA
rnacentral:ncRNA from 1 species